GCAGAGGUGGAGGAUUUAUCAGCAUACACGAAUGGUUAUGAAGAAAAUUCAUCUGCUGAGUCCACUUCGGGUGAUGAGCAGGAUGUUGGAGAAGAGUCUGAAUUCGCAGAACAAAAGAAAGUCGAAGCAAAGGAGAAGAAGAAAAGGCCUAAGCAAAAGAAAGAGCAGGUCCCAAAAUUGAAUAUUCCAGGAUCUGCGCGCAAGUUGAAAAUUAAGGAGAAAGCUGUACUCACUGGAGUUUUAUCCAAAUAUGCACAAAAGAUAUCGUCUU
rnacentral:misc_RNA from 1 species